rnacentral:rRNA from 1 species
GACAGAGGGUGCAAACGUUGCUCGGAAUCAUUGGGCGUAAAGAGCGCGCAGGCGGCUUGGCAAGUCGGGUGUGAAAUCCCGGGGCUCAACCCCGGGACUGCAUUCGAUACUGUCAGGCUAGAGGUAGGUAGGGGAGAUCGGAAUUCCUGGUGUAGCGGUGAAAUGCGCAGAUAUCAGGAGGAACACCGGUGGCGAAGGCGGAUCUCUGGGCCUUACCUGACGCUCAGGCGCGAAAGCUAGGGGAGCGAACAGG